rnacentral:rRNA from 1 species
UACGAAGGGGACUAGCGUUGUUCGGAAUUACUGGGCGUAAAGCGCACGUAGGCGGAUUUGUUAGUCAGGGGUGAAAUCCCAGAGCUCAACUCUGGAACUGCCUUUGAUACUGGGUAUCUCGAGUAUGGAAGAGGUGAGUGGAAUUCCGAGUGUAGAGGUGAAAUUCGUAGAUAUUCGGAGGAACACCAGUGGCGAAGGCGGCUCACUGGUCCAUUACUGACGCUGAGGUGCGAAAGCGUGGGGAGCAAACAGG